AGUGAACGCUGGCGGUAGGCCUAACACAUGCAAGUCGAACGGCAGCACAGUAAGAGCUUGCUCUUACGGGUGGCGAGUGGCGGACGGGUGAGGAAUACAUCGGAAUCUACUUUUUCGUGGGGGAUGACGUAGGGAAACUUACGCUAAUACCGCAUACGACCUACGGGUGAAGGCAGGGGAUCUUCGGACCUUGCGCGAUUGAAUGAGCCGAUGUCGGAUUAGCUAGUUGGCGGGGUAAAGGCCCACCAAGGCGACGAUCCGUAGCUGGUCUGAGAGGAUGAUCAGCCACACUGGAACUGAGACACGGUCCAGACUCCUACGGGAGGCAGCAGUGGGGAAUAUUGGACAAUGGGCGCAAGCCUGAUCCAGCCAUACCGCGUGGGUGAAGAAGGCCUUCGGGUUGUAAAGCCCUUUUGUUGGGAAAGAAAAGCAGCAGGUUAAUACCCCGCUGUUCUGACGGUACCCAAAGAAUAAGCACCGGCUAACUUCGUG
rnacentral:rRNA from 1 species